UAAGACCUGCAGGAUCACCUACAUCACCUGAAUGCAAAUCAGAUAUUUUACUUAAACUAAAGCCUA
rnacentral:tRNA from 1 species